rnacentral:misc_RNA from 1 species
UAAGGAUCCCCGUAUGUGAGC